UGGGGAAUAUUGCACAAUGGGCGCAAGCCUGAUGCAGCAACGCCGCGUGAGGGACGACGGCCUUCGGGUUGUAAACCUCUUUUAGUAGGGAAGAAGCGAAAGUGACGGUACCUGCAGAAAAAGCACCGGCUAACUACGUGCCAGCAGCCGCGGUAAUACGUAGGGUGCGAGCGUUGUCCGGAAUUAUUGGGCGUAAAGAGCUCGUAGGCGGUCUGUCGCGUCUGCUGUGAAAACCCGAGGCUCAACCUCGGGCCUGCAGUGGGUACGGGCAGACUAGAGUGCGUAGGGGAGAAUGGAAUUCCUGGUGUAGCGGUGGAAUGCGCAGAUAUCAGGAGGAACACCGAUGGCGAAGGCAGUUCUCUGGGCCGUAACUGACGCUGAGGAGCGAAAGCGUGGGGAGCGAACAGGAUUAGAUACCCUGGUAGUCCACGCCGUAAAACGUUGGGCGCUAGAUGUGGGGCACCAUUCCACGGUUUUCCGUGUC
rnacentral:rRNA from 1 species